UACGUAGGUGGCGAACGUUGUCCGGAUUCACUGGGCGUAAAGCGCGCGCAGGCGGAUUGGUAAGUCUGAGGUGAAAGCUCCCGGCUCAACUGGGAGAAGCCCUUAGAUACUGCCAAUCUUGAGACACUUAGAGGAGAGUGGAAUUCCCGGUGUAGUGGUGGAAUGCGUAGAUAUCGGGAGGAACACCAGUGGCGAAAGCGGCUCUCUGGGAGUGUUCUGACGCUGAGGCGCGAAAGCGUGGGGAGCGAACAGG
rnacentral:rRNA from 1 species